ensembl:lncRNA
AUGAGAACCACCACUUCUCUUGAUGUUCCCCCAGCAAUAGCAAGAGUAUCCCCCUGGGCAGCUAAACUAGGCAAUCUGAACUGGAUGGCCCCCCAUAAGGGUCUGCCUCCAGGGGCAAACCAAGAAUGGGCAACUUGCAAGUCCCUAAACAGACUCAGAAGCGGAUGGCAAGAUGGUACUACCUGGAGGAAUCCUUCACCUUGUGUGACUGUGGAGCUGAACAAACAACUCCUCAUAUGUAUGCUUGCCCACAAUGCCCUGCCUCAUGCACGGAGGAGGAGUUAUCGAAGGCUUUCAUGGCCGGGAUCACAGGGUUGUUGUAUGUCUUUCGGGCUGUGUGGCAGAGAACAGCUAAUGACUGAACAAAGGAUGCCCCCCAGGCAAGAGACAAAACCUUUCCAAUGCUAAUUAGGGUGAUUAACUGAAACAUUAAUGCUGGCUUCCCAGUGACAAAGGACUCUUGCCACACCCUGGACUCUACACAGAUAUAUAUUCUUUCCUUUCCUUACUUAGUUUAUCCAUACCUCACAACCUCUGAGGAUGCCUGCCAUAGAUGUGGGUGAAACGUCAGGAGAGAAUACUUCUGGAACAUGGCCACACCACCCGAAAGACAUACAACAACCCGGAGGAGGAGUUGUUUAAAGCUAUGGACAAUGCGAUUGCUGUUGCCCGCUUUUGGUCCAAAACUAUUUAGCUGUUUGUGAUUCCUUUAUUUUAUCACUUAUAAACUUAUUUAUUAUGCAAUGCUUUUGACACGAAAUAAAAUAAAAAUGGGUUUAAAUGGUUUCAACCACAUUUAAUUUUGGAGUUCCCCCAGAACCUCCCAGAAGUCAAAACAAAUGCAUACAUACUUCUCUGUGUGUGCCUAUCCUUUUACCUCAAAAUAACCCCAAAUGCCUUCUCACGGCCUCAGGAAGAAACAAAACCAUUGUGAGAAUGCCUCCAUGGCUCCUAUGGGCACCUGGGACAAGCAAUUCCUUUUCCCCUGGAGGGCUAAUGUGCACCUCUGAACUUCCAUAGUUGUCCAAUCCUGCUAUUUAAUGCAAACUAUCAGAGAAACAAAACAGCAGCUACAAGAGUAAAGCUGUAGAAAGGACUUAUGUCAAGGAAAAAUAUAAAGAUGGUGUUAAGGGGAAGAGACACAUCCGCCACAUUGAAUUGGGGCUUGCUUUCAUUCUGCCCUGCUUACACUAAGGAAUACCUUUCACAAUUUUCAGGGAGUAUAGUUGUGUUAGUCUUUUGUCGCAAAAGCAGCAGGGUCCAGUAUCUCCCCUUAUGUAGUCAACCACAUCUUCCAUUGAAGACUAACAAGCUUUCUUUGGCAUAUGCUUUUACAGACUGCAGUGUACUUCAUUGGAUGCUUAGCACGUACUUUCUGAUGAAAAGUCAAACAGGUGAAAGACAGUUAAAGUACAUUGUUUUGUAGUUAUAAUAAAAUAUUUAUUCUGUAUCUCUGAAGGAAUUCAGACUGCACCCCCCCCCCCUUUCAGUUACCACUGUUUGUCUUUAGUCUUCUUUGUAUCUUUCUCUAUGAUAUCACUCUCAGGAUCCUCCUGCGGUAGUUUCUGGGGCUUUUGCCAUUAGCAAAAAACUGAUGACAAAAAUUGAGUAGAUAGAUAGGUGGAUAGAUAGACAGACUAGUGAUCUGUGAGAAUACAACUGGAAGUAUUUUUGCAUCACAAUAUGUUAAUAUUGUUAUUCUUAUGCUUCCUGUACUAGUACUAUACUAGGAACUUACAUAUCCACUUACCUUAUUUCCCUCUCCCUACUAAAUGUACACAGCAGCUAAUAUCAAUUGAUCAUUUAGUCACUAUUAAUGCAAUGCAGCGGCCCAAGGUUGCGUGGUUCAUUUCAUGACUGAGGAGAGAUUUGAACUUGGGUCUCUCUGUUUCACAUCCAGCACUUUAAAUCUUAGCUUUCACUGGUUUCCUCUAAUGUAA